UGUUACUCAACGAAUAAAAACUUUGAAUAGUAUAAAUUAAGAAAUUUAAUGGAUUUGGCGGCGAAAAAGACCAUUCAGAGGAACUUGUCACAUAAACGAUAGUCCCCGAAUACUUUACCUGGAUUAGAUAUCAGCUUGUAUACCGUUGUUGUCAGAUAACACUAAUAAGAUGUUUUCAAAAUUAGUAAUACUUAAGAACUUCAAAUAAAGGUGCAGUUCAUAUCCAGGAGUAGAUGAGUUACUAUAAAAGGAAUUUUGAAUAAAGGAGUUCGAAUGAGCCUUUUGAAAUUGGAUUUGUUUGUAAAAAUAAUAAAAGAGCUAUUUUGAAAAGAGCACUAUUUCGUG
rnacentral:rRNA from 1 species